GCCAGAUUAAGUGCGCCAGUAAAGAAGAUAGCUACCAGUACCGUAAAAGAGGGAAUUUAACACCAAAAGUGCAAGACGAUAUCCUCCAGAAUAAAGAACGGCACUUCCCUAGAAUGUCAGCUUGUAACCGAAAUUAUACUUCUCACCCUAAUGUCAUCAAGCUUGGCCUUGUUUUGAUCAACAAAAUGAGAGUUGCAUGUCCCAAAUAGAGCUGCUUCUCAAGCUUUGGUCUCAGAAUAAAGGUGUGCAGAGCCACAGCAGACACACAUGACACGUAAUGUAACAUUGUAGAAUCAUCCUUCUUCUGUACAUAGUGCUGAGCGGGGAAGGUGUGUGGCUGUGAGAAUGCGCUUCUCAGAUCUCCAGCUGGGGGAAUGCACCAACAGCUCAGCUGCUGAACUCUGAAGUCCAUGCUCAGCUUUGAAAUCCCUUGCCCUUCACUCCCAGGCCUCACUUCCCACAGGCUGCUCCUGGCCAGCGACUGAGCACAGAAGGGACUUUAGGACAGGCUUUUUCCUGGGAUAAGUGGUACUCUUCUCAUGGACAACUUUGGCUCAAAGACUCCUCAGUGGCCUUGCCAAAUUCUCCUUAGAGCUGCACUGUGGUCUAAGACGCUUCCACCUAGAACUCCUUCCUUCUCGCUCCUUCACUUAGAGUCAGACCUGCAUCACUAUCCAGUGGUCCUCUCGGUCUCUCCCAGCUCCUGCCCCAUUUUCUUCCACAGGUGUUUUCCAUAAUAAAUUUCUUGCAUUUAA